AUACGGGAGGCAGCAGUGGGGAAUCUUGCACAAUGGGGGAAACCCUGAUGCAGCGACGCCGCGUGAGCGAUGAAGCCCUUCGGGGUGUAAAGCUCUUUCGGCAGGAACGAUAAUGACGGUACCUGAAGAAGAAGCUGCGGCUAACUACGUGCCAGCAGCCGCGGUAAUACGUAGGCAGCGAGCGUUGUUCGGAGUUACUGGGCGUAAAGAGUGCGUAGGCUGUUUUCUAAGUUUGGUGUGAAAUCUCCCGGCUCAACUGGGAGGGUGCGCCGAAAACUGGAGAGCUUGAGUAUGGGAGAGGUAAGCGGAAUUCCUGGUGUAGCGGUGAAAUGCGUAGAUAUCAGGAGGAACACCGGUGGUGUAGACGGCUUACUGGACCAUCACUGACGCUGAGGCACGAAAGCGUGGGUAGCAAACAGGAUUAGAUACCCCUGUAGUCA
rnacentral:rRNA from 1 species